CGGAAGGACAUCCUGAGACAGUCUUCCUUCUUCACUGCCCCAGCGACUGGGAUGACAGACCCUGGAAUUCCCUCGAAUCCCAUCUCUCCUGUCCCACUUUCGGCACUCGAGCCGGUUUGCUCCAACAGAGAAUAUUUACCUGGUGGAGAUUUACAGGACCAUCGAUACCUGACCAUGACCGGACCUACAGAACAAAUACACCAGGAAGUUUGCAACAACUAACGUUGUGCCUCUCUCACCUUUCCUACCAAAUGGCUUUGCUGAAAGCUUUUGGGGAGUUUCCCUGAUGGGUCAGCUGGUAAAGAAUCCGCCUGUAAUAUGGGAGACCUGAGUUCAAUCCCUGGGUUGGAAAGAUCCCCUGGAGAACGGAAUGGCAACCCAUCCCAGUAUUCUGGUGUGGAGAAUUCCAUGGACAGAGGAGCCUGGUGGGCUACAGCCCAUGGGGUCACAAAAAGUUGGGACAUGACUGAGCGACUUUUACUUUUGGGGAGUUUGGGGGUUUUAAGGCAAGAGUCACCCACCUCCUUGCAUGGCCCUGCAGUAAACUUUUCUCUGUUCCAAACUCCCAACAUUUUGGUAUUGUUUGGCUUUUCUGUGCAUCUGGUGCAUGGAGUAACACUACCACUCAUCCUUCAAAAUCCCAUUCAUCGUUCAUAAAUCACAUCAUCCCUAAAGCCAUCUUGAAUUGCCAUGAAUUACUUUGCUCCCACUUGGGGAACCAGUAAACCCUUUGGCUGCCUUAAUGACUGUAAUUAUCAUAACUGUAUUGAAAUCUAUGUCCCACCUAGGCAGCGGUAUUUAGGACAGUGACUUACUGAUCUUUGCAUUCCCGGAAGUCUAGCAUUUAGUAGGAAUCAAGUAUUUGCUAAAUGAAGGAAACGUCACAACCGAUUCUUAAAAGCAGUUGCUCCAUCCCUUCAAUCAACAGUACAGGAAGAAGUAACUGACCCUGAUAACAAUUUUUUGUUAGCCCAGAUUUGCUUCUGAAGCCAAGCUCAGCAUGUUUGAUUAACAUGUCUUCAAGAAUAAGAGUGAGAAAGCAUUCCUGUAUUCAAAUUCAAGCAAUUGGAAUGGGAAGCA